rnacentral:lncRNA from 1 species
AAAUCGAAAGACAAUCGAAUUUAGCUAUAAGCUCACUUAGAGUGGAUUAAUGCAUGAAUCACUCUAUAAGAAGUCGAGCAACAAAAUUUAUGCGUCUAAACGAUUACGAAAAUCAAAUUGAAUUUUAACUCCGAGAUCGUAACGCAAUAAUAAGUCAAACAUCAAUCAAGCACAUUAUUAUUACAUAAGUGUAACAAUU